rnacentral:rRNA from 1 species
CCUACGGGAGGCUGCAGUGGGGAAUAUUGCACAAUGGGCGCAAGCCUGAUGCAGCCAUGCCGCGUGUGUGAAGAAGGCCUUCGGGUUGUAAAGCACUUUCAGCGGGGAGGAAGGCGGUGAGGUUAAUAACCUCAUCGAUUGACGUUACCCGCAGAAGAAGCACCGGCUAACUCCGUGCCAGCAGCCGCGGUAAUACGGAGGGUGCAAGCGUUAAUCGGUAUUACUGGGCGUAAAGCGCACGCAGGCGGUCUGUCAAGUCGGAUGUGAAAUCCCCGGGCUCAACCUGGGAACUGCAUUCGAAACUGGCAGGCUAGAGUCUUGUAGAGGGGGGUAGAAUUCCAGGUGUAGCGGUGAAAUGCGUAGAGAUCUGGAGGAAUACCGGUGGCGAAGGCGGCCCCCUGGACAAAGACUGACGCUCAGGUGCGAAAGCGUGGGGAGCAAACAGGAUUAGAUACCCCUGUAGUC